GGACGGGUGGAGUAAUGUCUGGGAAACUGCCUGAUGGAGGGGGGUAACUACUGGAAACGGUAGCUAAUACCGCAUAACGUCGCAAGACCAAAGAGGGGGACCUUAGGGCCUCUUGCCAUCGGAUGUGCCCAGAUGGGAUUAGCUUGUUGGUGGGGUAACGGCUCACCAAGGCGACGAUCCCUAGCUGGUCUGAGAGGAUGACCAGCCACACUGGAACUGAGACACGGUCCAG
rnacentral:rRNA from 1 species